rfam:Kitasatospora cheerisanensis KCTC 2395 genomic scaffold scaffold00001, whole genome shotgun sequence.
AUUACGAGUAAAGAUGCUCGUUUCGCGCAGCAGGACGGAAAGACCCCGGGACCUUUACUAUAGCUUGAUAUUGGUGUUCGGUUCGGCUUGUGUAGGAUAGGUGGGAGACUUUGAAGCAGCAACGCCAGUUGUUGUGGAGUCGCCGUUGAAAUACCACUCUGGUCGUGCUGGAUGUCUAACCUGGGUCCGUGAUCCGGAUCAGGGACAGUGUCUGGUGGGUAGUUUAACUGGGGCGGUUGCCUCCUAAAGGGUAACGGAGGCGCCCAAAGGUUCCCUCAGCCUGGUUGGCAAUCAGGUGUUGAGUGUAAGUGCACAAGGGAGCUUGACUGUGAGACUGACGGGUCGAGCAGGUACGAAAGUAGGGACUAGUGAUCCGGCGGUGGCUUGUGGAAGCGCCGUCGCUCAACGGAUAAAAGGUACCCCGGGGAUAACAGGCUGAUCUUCCCCAAGAGUCCAUAUCGACGGGAUGGUUUGGCACCUCGAUGUCGGCUCGUCGCAUCCUGGGGCUGGAGUAGGUCCCAAGGGUUGGGCUGUUCGCCCAUUAAAGCGGUACGCGAGCUGGGUUUAGAACGUCGUGAGACAGUUCGGUCCCUAUCCGCUGUGCGCGUAGGAGUGUUGAGAAGGGCUGUCCCUAGUACGAGAGGACCGGGACGGACGAACCUCUGGUGUGCCAGUUGUCCUGCCAAGGGCAUGGCUGGUUGGCUACGUUCGGGAGGGAUAACCGCUGAAAGCAUCUAAGCGGGAAGCCUGCUUCGAGAUGAGCACUCCCACCUCCUUGAGAGGGUAAGGCUCCCAGUAGACGACUGGGUUGAUAGGCCGGAUAUGGAAGCCCUGUGAGGGGUGGAGUUGACCGGUACUAAUAGGCCGA